UUCUCAAGUUCUGAUUGAGUUCUAAAAGAUUUUGAAGAUUGGAAUUCUUCAUAGUCAGAUCUAAGAUUCUUAGUUGAAAGGAUUUCCCCACUCAGUACUUUGAAUUAAUCAACCCUACUGCCUUCUGGCCUCCAAGGUUUCUGGUAAGAAAUCUACUGAUAAUCUGACUGAGAAUCCUUUGUAUGUGAGGAGUACUUCUCCCUUGUUUCAUUCAAGAUUCUUUGUCUUUUGAUACCUUGAUUAUAAACUAUCUUGAGUGAGAUACUUUGAAUUUAUCCUAUUUUGAGUUUGUUGAGCUUUGUGGUUUUUUUGACAGCAAGUUUUUGUAGAGACAGGGUCUCAUGGCCAGGCACAGUGGCUCAUGCCCAUAAUCCCAGCACUUUGGGAGGCCAGCUGAGACCAGCAGAUCACCUGAGGUUCGGAGGUUGAGACCAGCCUGACCAACAUGGAGAAACCCAGUCUCUGCUAAAAAUACAAAAUUAGCUCGGCAUGGUGGCACGUGCCUGUGAUCCCAGCUACGUGGGAGGCUGAGGCAAGAGAAUCACCUGAACCCAGGAGGCAGAGGGUGCAGUGAGCUGAGAUUUCACCAUUGCAACAAGAGUGAAACUCCGUCUCAAAACAAGAGAAAAAAAAGACAGGGUCUCACUCAGUCACCCAGGCUGAAAGGGCUCAAGCAAUCCUUUCACAUGAGCCUCCUGAGUAGCUGAGAUUGUAUGUGCACACCACCAUACCAGCUUUUAACUUUAAUUAUGAUUUUUUCACAGAAACAGGGUCUCCCUAUGUUUCCCAGGCUGAUCUUGAAUUCCUGGCCUGAAACUACCCUUCCACCUUGGCCUCCCAAAGCAUUGAGUUUAGAGGUGGGAGCCACCAUGCCAAGCCUUGUAUAUUUAUAAUGUUUUAAUGUUUUAAAUCAAAUUUGGGAAGUUUCUUAGAUUUUCAUUAUUUCUUCAAGUAUUCUUUUAGUCCCUCUGUCUGUUCUGUGAUUCUUACAAACUGUUGUUGGUCCACUUGAUGGUGUCCCACAGGUCCCUUAGGGUCAGUUGAUAUUCCUGCAACCAUUUUAUUUCUGUUUCUGACACAGGAUUAUUUCAAUUGCUUUGUCUUCAGAUUUGCUAAUUCUUUCCUCUGCUUGGUCAAAUCUGUUUUUAAUCCCUUCUAGUAAAUUUUUCUUUUCUUUUUUUUUUUUUUUUGAGCUGGAGUCUUGCUCUGUCACCCAGGCUGGAGUGCAGUGGUGUGAUCUCAGCUCACUGCAACUUCUGCCCCCCAGGUUCAAGCGAUUCUCCUGCCUCAGCCUCCCAAGUAGCUGGGACUACAGGUGCGUCACGUUUAGCUAAUUGUUGUAUUUUUAGUAGAGACGGGGUUUCACCAUGUUGCCCAAGCUGGUCUCGAUCUCCUGACCUCAUGACCUGCCCACCUCAGCCUCCCAAAGUGCUGGGAUUACAG
rnacentral:lncRNA from 1 species